GCUCCGAUUGUUACGAUCUGCCACCGCUCCACACCGCAUUAACAAAAAUAUCCACAUAUACCAUAUAUUAUAUAUUUUUUAUAACUAUUAGAACCGCACCGCUCAACCCGCUGUUACAAUUCGGAGCCAUAGAAGAAAGAAAAAAUUCUCAAUAUAAUUGUGUUUUUUCCAUGAUAUAAAAUAUUAGAUUUUGAUCCGCGCUUGGAAAGCGCGAAAUUAUUUUUGAACUUAAAUAAAAAAAUUUAAAAUGAAUGCUAUAUUCUCUCGUUUUCAAUUUAACUGUUGUUCUAGAGUAAACUUUCCGUUUCAAAAUAAGUAUCACUUUAUAAUUUCAAUGCAAAAUUUAUUAACAAAAUUUUCUGUUUAUUUUUCUAUUGGUUGAAAUAUGUUUAGGUUUAUAGGUAAUUAUGUUUUUAUUUUGGAAAUAUACAAAAUCAUAUGUUUUAUUAAUCUUUGGGCAUAAACCUAGAUAAUUAAAAUGAAACGGAUGGAGUAUAAGAUAAUAUAUAAGUUUGGGAAUACUUAUUCAGAAUCGAGGAACCAAACCAUACCAAACUCAAAAAAAGAAAUUACAAUUGAACUGAAAUUCAUAAAUAACUGAACAGGUCUUAUAUCUAUGGAACAAAAAAAUAAAAAUUGAACCGAGAACCGAACGAGU
rnacentral:lncRNA from 1 species